rnacentral:rRNA from 1 species
AGCGAACGCUGGCGGCAGGCCUAACACAUGCAAGUCGAACGAACUCUUCGGAGUUAGUGGCGGACGGGUGAGUAACACGUGGGAACGUGCCUUUUGGUUCGGAAUAACUCAGGGAAACUUGUGCUAAUACCGAAUGUGCUCUUCGGGGGAAAGAUUUAUCGCCAUUAGAGCGGCCCGCGUCUGAUUAGCUAGUUGGUGAGGUAACGGCUCACCAAGGCGACGAUCAGUAGCUGGUCUGAGAGGAUGACCAGCCACACUGGGACUGAGACACGGCCCAGGCUCCUACGGGAGGCAGCAGUGGGGAAUCUUGCGCAAUGGGCGAAAGCCUGACGCAGCCAUGCCGCGUGAAUGAUGAAGGUCUUAGGAUUGUAAAAUUCUUUCACCGGGGACGAUAAUGACGGUACCCGGAGAAGAAGCCCCGGCUAACUUCGUG